rnacentral:lncRNA from 1 species
GAGCAACAUUGCCAUGUUUAAAAUUUUGUUGGGCAGAAAUAAUAAUAACCUUAAAUAAUAAAAUGUGUAUUAUUUUACCCUCCACUAAAUGGUAUUUCUCAACCAAACAACAACUAGGCUAAACGAAACACCUACACCUGAACGUUUGUGGUGUGUGUCUGUGAGUCUGUGUGUGUGACUGUUGGACAUGCUCACUUAAUCAGAGUCACAGUUGUGACAGGGGUACAGGCUUGGUGGGCCCAUAAUUUGCAUUCCCAGCACUGCACGCAGACCUCAUUGGAAUUGUUAAAGUGCUCCAUGCACACGCGUUUUCCUCGUUGGAGGAAUCUGAAUCUUCUGGUUCAAUCUGCUUUGUUUUGUCUUUUUUCUUAGGCAGGACUGUUUUUUGUUGUUGUUCAGUGUGGUUUGUCUUGGCUUGCUUCUUUCCAGCUGUUGUUGUAGGCAGGACAAUUUUUAUUUUUGUCUUCUGAGUGCUUGACUCUUUAUGCUCUUCUUCCAGUGCCUGCGUGACGGGUGUAUCUGUCAAAAUCACAGUUUUUCUCCUCUUCCUAAUCCUUGUUGUAAUUUUCCUGAACCCUGCUUUUGGGAAGGGGCGUACAACUGGGUUGAAAUCAGAAGAGUAAUCAGGUGUUUCCCAGCCACAGCCUGAUACAUGUGGGGAGGUGCCCUGUGAAGUGACUGGAGAGGUGGCCUGGGAGGCAGCUGGAAAGGUGGCCUGGAAGCCAGUUGGAGAGGUGGCCUGGAAGGCAGUUGGAGAGGUGGCCUGGAAGGCAGUUGGAGAGGUGGCCUGAAUAGCUGUGGGCACAGUGGGCAUAAUGGCCUGAGAAGUGUCUGAAGAGGUAACCUGGGAGGCAGCUGGCAAGACCAGUGUGUCUGCUGGAGCAGGAGGAUCAGUGACAAGUGAGGGUGCAAUGUCACAUCCCUUAAAUAUAUCAGGAUUGUAUGGCCAAAUGCCAGCACACCUGAACCCAGCCUGUACAUUGGUGGGUGUUGUGGCACCUGUUUCGACAAGGCCUGGAAUGUCAUUUAUGGUCAGUUGGAGAGGUGGCCUGGAAGGCAGCUGAAAAAGUGGCCUGGGAGGCAGCUGGCGAGAUGGCCUGGAAGGCAGUUGGAGAGGUGGCCUGGAAGGCAGUUGGAGAGGUGGCCUGGAAGGAAGUUGGAGAGGUGGCCUGGAAGGCAGUUGGAGAGACGGCCUGGAAGGCAGUUGGAGCUGUGGCCUGGAAGGAAGUUGGAGAGGUGGCCUGGAAGGAAGUUGGAGAGGUGGCCUGGAUAGCUGUGGGCACAGUGGCCUGAGAAGUGUCUGAAGAGGUGACCUGGGAGGCAGCUGGAAAGACCAGUGUGUCAGCUGGAGCAGGGGUCAUGGUCUUUCCGGGCUUCAUCCUCAAACAGGCAUCACUGGCUGAGUUCACCAUUUUCUUCAAUGGCCCGUACACGCUCCUGUCCAGUAGCUUCUUUCUCUCUUUGCAGAAUCUGUACAGAGUGACAUGACAUGUGCAGUACAACUUUGAUCUGAU